rnacentral:rRNA from 1 species
UACGUAGGGUGCGAGCGUUGUCCGGAAUCAUUGGGCGUAAAGAGCGUGUAGGCGGCCUGGUAGGUCUGCUGUGAAAACUCGAGGCUUAACCUCGAGCUGUCGGCGGAAACCAUCUGGCUAGAGUCCGGAAGGGGAGAAUGGAAUUCCCGGUGUAGCGGUGAAAUGCGCAGAUAUCGGGAGGAACACCCGUGGCGAAGGCGGUUCUCUGGGACGGUACUGACGCUGAGGCGCGAAAGCGUGGGGAGCGAACAGG